CUACCCUUGACAUGUCAGGAAGUCCGCUGAGAGGUGGAUGUGCCCGAAAGGGAACCUGAACACAGGUGCUGCAUGGCUGUCGUCAGCUCGUGUCGUGAGAUGUUGGGUUAAGUCCCGCAACGAGCGCAACCCUUGUCAUUAGUUGCUACAUUUAGUUGGGCACUCUAAUGAGACUGCCGGUGACAAACCGGAGGAAGGUGGGGAUGACGUCAAGUCCUCAUGGCCCUUAUGGGUAGGGCCUCACACGUCAUACAAUGGCGGAUACAGAGGGUUGCCAACCCGCGAGGGGGAGCCAAUCCCAGAAAGUCCGUCGUAGUCCGGAUCGGAGUCUGCAACUCGACUCCGUGAAGUCGGAAUCGCUAGUAAUCGCGGAUCAGCAUGUCGCGGUGAAUACGUUCCC
rnacentral:rRNA from 1 species